rnacentral:lncRNA from 1 species
UGACUCUGAAAGGAGUUUUCUAUUCAUUUUACCACAUAGUCUAAAAGUAAAGAGACUUUGUAUUUAAUACCUUUAUGAGAAGGCCAUGUGGCUUAACUUGAGAUAACCAAGGCAUGGUAGACCAGCUCAUCACUAACAUCUUCCUCUCUGAUUGGAGGAUGGGAUUAUGAACCCCAAACCUCCAUUUAAGGGGAGAGCCCAGAUCAGUCAUCUCAUUUCUCACUUGCUUGCACUUCUCCAAAUGUCUCCAAGGUGAGUAACCUCCUCCUCUCCCAUUGCCAAUCCCUGUUUCAGCUUCUCUCAAUAAAUGUAAACUUCUUGAGGGCAGAAAAGAAAGAAAGGAAGGAAGGAAGGAAGAAAGAGAAAGAAAGAAGAAAGAGAAAAG